CACUGCUUUAGCAUGUUUUGGGUUUAGCAUUAUCGUGAGGAGCCGCCGCACGAAAUGGGGCAGUUCAGAGUCCGUCACAGUAUCUGUUAUUCCUCUGAUCUUGAGAUGCUUCAGCCGACGUUUAUCUUCCAGCUCUGCAAACCGUAAGUCAUUUUGUUUGGACAGGUUCCUCAGCGCCAGUAUCUCUUGCUGUAGCUCCUUGAUAUGUGUGUCUUGGGCUUGCGUGGUGUGUUCCACAGCUCCAAGUCGUCCACUGAGGCCCUUCAGCGUGUCCCGAAUUGAGGCCACAUCCGCUGAUAUUUUGUUAUGGUGGUCUGCCAUUAAUUCUCUGAUGGCCUCCAUGCUCACCGGGGUAGGGGUUGCGGCGGGUGGUGGGGGCUGUGUUCGAUUCAGUGGGAGUUUGGGGUUGGCUUGUAGGGGCUCCCCUUCUGCUUCAUCCGAAGACUCACUGUAGAAGUCUGAGCAUCCGCCAUGAAGGGACGCCAUGUUAGGGAGAGAGGCUUCUUGGGCCUUCCGCCACAACUCGCCAAUAUGUGUGCCCGGGUGGAGUUUUUCGGGCUUUAACUUCUUUGUCUUUCGCCCCAUCGCGUUUACCUAAACGUUUGGGUCCGUCUGGGUUGGAUUUGACCCGAUUGUGGGUGUUUUUAGUGGGUUUUGUCAGUUUCAGGCCUGGAGCUCAGCAAUCCUGCGACCGUCCGCUUCAGUGGUUAGGCCACGCCCCACUGUGAGACUUGUUUUACCAAUUGGUGCGCAAACUACCUUGAUUUGAAUUUUAUUAACAGCGCCAUAUUUACCUGGAAGAAAAAUGCAUCCGUGGCAGUCAGUCAACUCCCAUCACAGGGAGCAACCUACGAUCUAUAUUUUAUAUUCUGCAAUAGUUGUCUGUUCAACACAGUCACUGAUACCCCAGGAAUAACAGCUUACGCGGGUUACAUGAGCAAAAUAUGUCAGUAUGCUUCCAGUCACAGGCAACGACCUAAUGUUAAAAAUGGCUAUUUGAAAAAUGAAAUAUGUAGGGAUAAAUACUAAGAAUUUAAAAUUGGUGUUUAUUUGAUGUGAGUUGAUAUGAUUUUUUUUAUAAUGUAAUGAAAAUGACUUUUCUGAACUCGCUAAGCAUUCAAGGUCGCGGAACGAGGAAUAUAUAUUUGAAAUGAAUUACUAAAGAUUUUUAAUGGCUUUGAUCAUCACAUUAAAACUAAUUGGGUUUGCUAAUUAAACAAUGGGUUGUGGUGCUGUGACAAGAACUGAUCUGGAAAAUUUAGACACACAGGAAUGCCAGUUUAGGGAAAUAAAUUGAAUUGGAAUAUGUUUCUCUAACUGCUUUUGGUUAAAUAUUUCAGUUUUGUUUCCAGUCCACCAAAGGUCACCACUUAGUAAAUAAACCUCCUUAAAAAAUGAUUGGUUUAUUUUCUACAUUCAGUAAUUCAUCUGCUCCAAAACCCAAUUACUUAAAAUUCUGAGUCAUCAAAGAGAUGUCCCUUAUAAUCUAUAUAAACCGCUAUAAACACAACUACGCACUGAUUAAAUUGUAAAACAUUGAGUUACUUUAAAAAUAUUUUACUAUAUAAAUAUAUUAAAUGAAAUAGUGUUUUGGAAUAAAAUAAAUUGUUUUGUUUUUUUCUUAAAUCAACUGUACUAUUACGUUGAAGCAAUGUAGCCAAGCUUAAAAAAUGCUUAGACUAUCAUGCCUGCUGGAUUAAUUAGGGGAGAUGAAAUUGGGUUAAAAUGAUUGAACGUCUCAUUAACAUUUCAGCACGGUCAAUAACAGUUCACACAAGUAAUCGUUUUGUUAACUCUAUUGAACGAAAUAAUUGUUGAAGGAAAUGGGCAGGUUGGCUUAACCCCUUAAGGACGCAUGAGGGAAAUAUUCUGUCAUGAUUCCCUUAUAUUUCUGAAGUUGUGUCCUUAAGGGGUCAGACACAUUGGAGUCUUGUUUUUUUUUUGUUUUUUUUUUAAAGGGCAACCAUCACUUCCCAGGAAUAUAAAUGUUACAUUGACUUAUCCACUAUUUUUACAAAUAUAUGUUUAUGAGAUUUAAUAACUAAAAUGACGUGCAGAAAUUAACAUUUCACGAAGAUUAUAAGUACCUAACCACAAAGGGCCAUGGUCGAUAACAAACGGGUCCCCCCGCAAUGAGUACGGUUUCAUACCUAAUAACAUAGAUUACUAAGGGCUGAAACCAGAGCUUGACAUUGGCGGUAAUUACAAUACAUUGUUAUUGCAUGUUUUUCUUUCCUUUUUAUUGUAUAACUCUUAUAAUUUCUUACAAAAUGUAUAAAAAAAUUACACCAAAUAGCACAUUCUUACAAACUGAACAAAAUCACGCGAACUGUAAUGGUGGUAUGAUCAGAUGUAAACUGGAAUACGGAUCGGCUACCAACCAAAGCUGAUCAAUACUCAUACCAUGUAAUGCAUGUAGUUCCUCAUCAUUGUAACGCACUGUCAUGCCAAAAAUAAAGAAUUAAAAAAAUAAAUAAAAAAGAAAUCAACAUUUCAGCAUUAUAUCCUGGAAUUGUGUGCUGCC